rnacentral:lncRNA from 1 species
UGUAGAUCUACUCGUCCUGCGGUCACCCAAGACAAGCCUCUUAUUCCAAAGGGACCUGUAUUAUCCAGAAAUUCUGCAGACCAUUGUUCCCCUACAUUGAUGACAUCAUGGUAAUGGGAUCUGAUGAACAAGACUGGCAAGUAUUCUGGCUGCUUUGGUAAAACACUUGUGCUCCAGAAGUUGGAACUAUUUCAGACAUUUGAAGGAAGAUUGGAAAACAUGUUGUUUCCUCAGAUUCAUGUAUGUGAGUCUAAGAUGACUGGAACUUUUAACUGGCUGGAAUACAGAAAAAAUAGGUAUUCAAGGCAAUUUCUGUCAACACUAGCUGACCCCAAGCUAAAGGACAGAGACUUCAGAGACUACACCCAACAAAGAAUACAAACUUUACAAAAACAGUUUAGAAAAGUAACAAAAGAA